GUCAGCGGCGAUAGCACGUUGAGUACACCAGUUCUCAAAGGACCACUGAAGUUAAGCAACGUUGCGUCUUGUUAGUAUCAGGAUGGGCGACCAUCUGGGCAAUCACGUCCUUGUGGUGU
rnacentral:rRNA from 1 species